GCGCGCCAGGUCUAUCUUGGUCUACCCAUACGUCCCUGGAGUCAGAUUUUGGCGCCAUAUCGAAUAUCGUCCCUCAAAGAGUGGAUAAGAUCAGAGCGAAUUCUAGUUUGCUUUGAUUUCCUCUUCAAAUAUACCUUUGGUACCAGAGGCUCGGGCUUCACUUGUUUACUGUCACGCCGUUCUUGGCUACUUUGGUGCCCAGGGUACUUAAAAUACUCAGCUUUUCGCGUUUAUUGGCUAGCGAAGAACGGGAUGCGUAUAGUUUUAGUCUGCAUCUUUUUAGGGUGCUUUGAAUGACAAAGCCAACCGACCAAGUUCAAGAAACACGUUUUUGACUAACCCAGUCAUUGGGAUAAUGCUGUUGGAAUACGCUAAUAGCGAUGCAAGCCCUAAACAGUCAAAGAUCAUUUUACAUGGAAUCCUCUGAAAUCAUUGUUGGAACGUGGAAUAGCUCGUCUACUCAGUUCAAAAGAGUCCUUCGCAAAAUUUAUUUUCCAGAGCAGAUUGUGAGACGGUAUCAUGGCAGCACCACCUCCAUCUGUCAUCCUUCUUUCCCAGGCUGGCCCUUUCACACGCACCAGGAGUCCCUUCUGCAUGAGAUCAUCUCCAAAACACCAUCUGCUAAACAGGUUCGACGCAGUUCUUGACGAGAGACGUGACUUCGAUGAAGGUGCUGAGGGUUGUUCACCUCAAGCAGCGACUGUUGAGUGUUGAUAAGAUUACGAGCGUUUCGUGUCCGAGUCCAUCUUGAACUACGAUCUUUAGAGUGAGAUAAAACAACUGUUGAAGUGGACCUGUUCUCAGGUCCUGGGUUCAGUUUGAAAACUAGAUCACCUUCAAGAGGGAGGUGAAAGGUGGCACUUGUAUUGUUAUAAUACAUGCAAGGGCAUUUCUGUCUUCUGAUUCGUGCUCUUGAGCAGAAAACCAGUCGAGUGGAGCAACGCCCACUCGCAAUUGUGGUUGUUUGUGUGGUUGAAGCUUCAGGUGUGGUGGCAAUUAGGGUGGUGUUUGGUGUUAAAGAUUCAGGUGUGGUGGCACUUAGGUGGUCUGUGUGGUUAAUGAUGAAGGGCAAUUGGAGGGGAUUGUGUGGUUGAAGUAUCAGUUGUGCUGGCAAUUGGAGGGGUUUGCGUAGUUGCAGAUGUUUUGACAAUGGGUAUGGUUUGCACAGCAGCUGUGAUUGUUUGCGGAGUAGGUGUGGGUGUGUUAGUGUGGGAGAGUAGAUCUAAUAUACGAUGAUGUGUGGUUUCCAUGUUGUUAAUUUUAUCCAGAAGUACACCUAUAGCUGCAUCGCAGCAGCUUUUUUUUUUAGAAAGGAGCAGCAGCUUCUCCUCACAGCUUUCAGAGGGAAGGGUCAUAUUGUUGAUAUUAUCUAUUUUUCCUGAUUUGGGGAUAAAGUUAGGGGGUCGGGGGUACUUGUUGUAUUUGGUGUAGAUCUUCUGGGCUUGGCAGCAUGCAAUCUUCAAUUAGUUUGAUGUAUCCAUCUUCCUGCCUCAUCAAACUUAGCUUGUCAUCUAAAAAGAUACAAAAUGUAGUGUUAGAUCUCACUCAGUCAAUAACUUUGUUUAUGGUUAGUUAUUGAUAUUUCCUUGAUACUUCCUAUUUUGAUUCACAUUUUUGUUUUCUUUAAGAGAUAAUUUCUAAAUGUGUUGGCCUGUCUAUGUCUGUCUUUCCUAUAAAACAGGUUCCUAGAAAUAUUGCUGUUUCUCGACUGCUUUUGGGCUUUUUCUAGUGCAUCUCAAAUUGAACAAGGCAAAAUCAUACACAUCAGUCAAACUUCCAGACUCCUGAUUGUUGUUGAGUGCAAUCGAGCAUUCUUUUAAAAGACAGGAAAUGGGCUGGAUUGGACACGAACAAAACAUUAUAAAAACCUGACCAUGGAAACAUUUGAAAAAUGAAUCUCCUAAAUUGCCUAAAUAAUAUUAGUCAUAUCAAAUAAUUAAUAAACAUUAAUUGGUACAUUUAUGGCACUUGUUUGAAGACAAAAAGAAAAUUGAAUAGAAAAACUCUUUUAAUUCUUGGAUUACACUGGCCAUAUAUUCUAUGAUAGCAAAAAUUGGCUUCUAUUUUCAAAUAAGAUAGCUUGCUAUCAGCUUGUGUUCAUGGUUAUUUGGAAAUGUUUUGCGUUUUCCAACUGUCAGCCUUUGUGUGUGUAUGUAUAUUAUUAUGCAAUUAUAUGUUAAAAAAUGUAAGUUAAAUUAAAUUACAAGUUUAAAUAUCAUUCAAAUACAAAUGGGAUUUUGGAAUUUUAUGGUGACAUUUCAGGAGGCCAUUUCAGUGCUGUAUGGUCAACAUAUCAGUCCCCUCAAGUCAUUUCUUGCGAUUUAUACAGACAUCUCAUUUCUUGUGCCUCCGAAAACAAUAUUCUAUACCUUGAAAGGUUAAAUGUUAGCUCCCAUAAGGACUAUUUUUUAUCAAGAAUGACAAGUUUUGCUCAUCACAAUCAAUGUUUUGAUCUCAAUAGGAAAAAAGCGUUCCAAAAAAUCACUUUGAACAAUUAAGAAACCUUGAAGAUACAUAGCGAGAAAAAAGGCCAUUGUGCUUGAAUACUGUGCCUUAAUAUUGGAGAGAAAAAUCUUAAUAAUUAAUUAUAAGUAAUUUUGAAAACAUACCUUGAUUCGAUGAGAAAACGCCUGGUAACGUUUUACCAUUCUAACCUUAGAUAGGUCUUUACACAUUUCAGUCGAGGGCGCAGAUUGGCAUAUACUAACACGUGCGGUGAUUGGCUUGUCUAAAACAAAAGCCUGAGGUCGAUCGGCAGAAUGAAAAACACGCUCUAAUCGAAAGUUGACAGAGCCGUCACUGAAAUUCGUUGGUACCGGCUCUCUACGUUCAGGUAGGAAUGAAAACCUUUGAAAAGGAUAUGCUACUUUCGCUAAACGAUAGUGAAAGAACAAUAGCAAGAAAUCGACCGAGGGGACACAUUACACUGUCAACAAAUCCUAUCGCAAAAUAACAAGGAAUAGCGAGUAGAAUACAAAUUAACCGUAAGACACAAAACCUGUGUUUUCAUACCUGCCACUGCCAACACCUUGGUUCUAUAGGUCUUUCUUGACCAAUUUACUUUAGUGUACUCCCCAACACGCAUCUCCUCCUCAGCCUGGCUGCUUUUGACCACGCCGACUUCUUUGGUAGAAAUGAAAAGAACAAGACCAUACGGCGGCCACAUCUUGUAGGACUAAUAAUAAUAAUAAUAAUAAUAAUAAUAAUAAUAAUCUUUAUUGCCUUAGAUAAAUCAACAUGUCUAAGUUUACAAAAUGUAGGAGAAACCGAUUAUAAGUAAAUGCGCUACAUCAAUUAUAUGUCACUAUAUUUAAAGACAAGCCUAUUGACAAAAGUAUUUUUGAAUCGCUCUGAGUGAACCCUAGGAUAAAUCACAUUUCUUUUUCUGAGGUUGUAUUUUUGGUCUUUUUUCUUAGGCAGGAUUUUGCUCAGAGGAUAUUCAGGUUGAAUGACUCACCGGCGUUCAGUCGUCUCGACAUUGUAAGUGAACAAGGGCGAGUGAACAACAAGACAGAGCAACAAUUUAUGCUUAAGCUUUUAAGUAUUCAAAGCAAAAGACUACAUCGGAAAGUAGAUUUAAGUAGUUACUAAGAACAAAUUUUAUUAAACUUUGAUUUUUUAUUUUGUUGUGAAUUAGCAUUUGUUGAGAAUAAAGUGAUGAUGAUGCUAGAAUCUAUAGCAUUUGUUGAGAAUAAAGUGAUGAUGAUGCUACAAUCUAUAGCAAACUUCAUAUUUGCGUUAUAUUUGCUAGAUCUUCAAAAGCUACCUUUACACUACAUUUGCUGUAGAUGCAAAGUUGAAGAAAAUAUGGAGCACCAAAUUUGGAUCACAUUUGCUCAACUAACAAACUUGAGCAAAUCAUUUUUUCGCCCAGUGUUUACAGCCAAGCCACCAUACAGAAGCUCGAAAUUCUUACAGAAUUUCAUAAGAAGAUAGUCCCCUUUCCUGACGUCAUCCAAAGUGAUGUAUGGUUUCACCAAAGUGCUGCAAGCCAUGACAAAGGUUUGCAAGCACUUGAGAUCCUCUUCAGGCAAAAGACCAUUCAAACAGUAUAUGGAAUACACCAUUGUCCAGUUUUUCCACUCGUCAGCUGUAAAAGAACCGUAGUUCGAAGAUAUUUUUGAAGGGAUUCUUCCAACCUCAGUCAGUACACAUAGACAAAAUUCUCUCAUCAACUUUCGCUAAGUCCUGGUUGGUGAGCCUUUCAUUAUCAAGCAAUAGCUUAAACAUUGACUUCGCUGUUCCAAGAAAAAGGUUGUGCAUGGGGUCAAUUGCACAAAAACAAGUCCAAUAGUUUGGUAUAGCGAACCACAAGUUGACUCUUAAGUUUCCUCUGUUCUGCAGUGCUACGAGCUCGUGAGAGUUGACGAACUCUUCUUCUCUGCUCCACAUUUGUGCGAAUGUUCCAAUUCUCCCUAUCAAACCCAGAGUAGUCCCUUUUCUCUCCGAACCCUCCAGGAAAUGAUUUAAAGCAGCGAGAGCAGCCAAGUUUUGCAGAAUGCCCUACAAAUCCACAAAGCUUCCUUGAUGCUGGUAUGUCGGACGAAGCCCAGAGUAAAGCAGCACGAAACUUCAGUGAAAACAAAGGAGAGAUGCUUGAAACAAAACUAAGGCCACUCCGAAGUGCGUUUAGUUCAUCUACAAGUGGACAUAGGAACUGGUUGAGUGAAGCUGGUUCCUUUGAAAGAGCUGGGAUGAUCCCAACUAGGAAAAUGUUUUCACGCUUGAACCGUUCCUCCCUUAGGUAGGUUCAUUAAAACUAAAUAAGUAACUCCAACAGAAAAAAUCAGAGCGUCUCUUAUAUGGCUGGAACCAGUCACAGUUCAUCAUAAAACCAUAAUUCCUCUCUUUGCUCAGAAAUGGUUGCCCCUUGUAGUCGAGAAACUCUAUCCAGACUGCACCUUCAUAAAUGUCUCCUAAAUCCCCACAGCAUCCACGGUCCGGUCUCUCCACUGUUCACACUUUUGAACCAUGCCACUCCUUUUGACAAAUCUCUCUAGUGUUUCGAUGAUGCUAUUAAAGCAGUAUACCUUUAAAGGGUAGAAUACCUGUGUGUUGUUUGUCAACACCACUUUCUUUACUAGCUGAUGCCCACAUUCUCGCAUCUGACGCCUGUGUCGGACAGCAUUUGUGCAUCUGCGUGCUACUUGGUUGCCGUUGACAAUGAUUGUGCAUUGUUCUGGCUUGUAGAGCUUCGUGCAUUUAGGGCAGACCACAUAACGCUGGAAUGCAUCUCUGUCCAGUCGCAGGUACUUUCGCAUUAGGUAUAGUGUCCCAGGGAAAACACUUGCAACUUGCAACUUGCAACUUGAUUGCAUCCCAAGAACAUUGAGAAACCUUGACAGGAAUUGUAGGAGCCACUCCAGCCCAUUAUCACUGAGAUGGCAGCUUGUCUGCCAAACAAGCAAGAAGUACAGCAUCCAGGUUACCAGAGCUUUCUGGUUACUCAUUACUGUGCCAAGACACAUCUGAUAAAUUCCAAAUGCACCCAUUUGACCAUUGACUGUAUCUCAUAACUGAAUAGCAUACCCCUGUAGUUUCAGAACUUGAAAAAUCAUCAUCUUGUAUGCUUGAUAUUGGAUCAUGAUCAGAUGAAACAGCCUCCUCUCUAGUAAUUUCUAAAUUAGUGAUGAUAAGUUAGCCAUAGAAAUAUUGUUGUUGUGGGGUGAAUUAUAUUAGAAGCGUUGAGGCCACAUAUACAAGUUUGUGUUUCAUGGGCUCAGUCACUAAACAUAUGGGUAUUAACUCUUUACUUCUCAGUAUUUAUAGAGUGAACAAACUAUUUAUAUUCAGUGAGUUCUUGUUUUGACAAAAUUGUGUCGUUUUGUAUUAUUCCAAAAUCAGUUCCAGUUGUUAUUUAUUUCCUUGUAGUAAAGUUUGCUCUCAAAAUGCUUUUAACUGUUAAUUAUUAGACAACUUAUAUUGGAGUAAAUGUUCUCUCAUAAAUAUAAGGUUUUGAAAGAUUUAGUGUAGAAUCGCAAAGUUUUGUUCAAAGGCAAAUGCACAUGGCUUUGUAAACAAAGGCCGCGCCAGAAAAAAUCCAAAACUGCCCACAAGUGAUAUUGUAGGAUUCUAGUCUGCUAAACAGCCAAUAAGAGCGUGCGUACCAUCGUAGACAUAAUAAAAUUGGAUAUUCUGUGUAUUGUGGGUCAGCUUAGGCAUAGGAACUGGUCCCUGGUGGAUAUAGUUCAACUAAUUGCUGUUAGUUUGACACACUGCGUAUUAUUUGGAUUGGUCACGGUUGUGCAAAAUCUGUCUAUAAUUGGGCCACUUAAAUGUUGAACGUUGCUAAAAAAAAAACCUCUAGAGACCCAAAUAUGAUGCAGUAAAACACCAAAACUAAAUCCUCCUUAACCCCAGUGAAAUUCAAUCCAUCCUUCCGUGAGUAUAUUUUCGAAAAUACAAAGCUGCUAAGUAAGAUAUUUCAGUAUUCAAAAUAAUCACAAAUUGUGUCAUGCAAAACGGAUCCAGAGCAUUUGUCAGACCCAAGGAAUAAUCUGGUAUAACUGAAAUCUUCUUACCAGUAAUGAAAGGUUCCUGAGCUUCGUCAUUUUCAUCAGAAUCAGAAAACUUUUCAUUGGAAACAUCUGGAUCUCCUUGUGCAUGAGAUGGUGUUCCUGGCAGUGGGGCUGGCUGUAACUUCACGCAACUCCUGUAUUUCGCAUGCUGAUAUCGAGAUCGGUAAGAGAGUUUUACACAGCAAAAUCUACAUGGACGUCUCUCACUUUUCUUGAAGCCCUUAUUCCUUCGUACACUUGGCAUUUUGCGCGAAAAUUACGUUUCGAAACAAUAUGAUUAACUGUAUAAUUUGACUAUGUAGAGAGUUGUAUUCGUAUUUUGAAGUAGCGGUGUUGAAGUGUGAGUUUUUGAGCCCGCGAUCCUCGUCACCUUGAAACCGUUUGUGUUACACCGUCACGUGACUGCGCGGCGGGCUUUUCGCGGGGUCUGUUUAUCGUCACGUCAGUAGCAGCACCGUGAGUUUGGCGACAGAUCUCAGCUGACACUUCUCUCUUGAAUUCACCGUUUGAAUCCGCGCUAUAAUCUCGAUCUCGAUAACGAUGGCAGUAAACCCAAUGGGAAACUCCGCCGAUGAGAACAUGGCGCUUAUUUUACAACAAGUUUUGAAACCGACGACUACAUGAGAGAAUGGAAGAGUUGACGUCUCAACAAGAAGAGCGGAGUUCGGCUUGUCAAAAUCCUCUGAAACGUCGCCGGAGAGCAGCUUCCAAAGACUGUCAGGCAGCAAUUAUUCAUUAUUUAUUACUUUUGGUAACUUUUAGUAAGUUUUUAAAGAAAAAAACCCGUUGAUUCUAGUCGGAUAGUAGUAGUUGUUUUCACACAUUCAUCCUUCGCUUCAGAUAACCAAAGGUCACCGUAUCCGCUGUAUGGUGUCGUAUUCUACGCAGCUUACAUCAUUUGAUUUACAUCGAUAUGACUUACGGUUCACUUGCAAUACUGUACUGGCAAUGUUCUUCUUUACAAGUUUAACAUUUAACUUUUUUCGUAAGCUUUUGGUGUCUUUUGGGAGCAACUACAGUAACUACAGCAUACAGGACUUCACACCUCGAUUUCUAUAGAACGAGGCAGUAAGAAUACAAUGGAAAUGCAAAUAUGUACCCUGUUUGACUCAACUUUGCAAUUUGACAAUCUUGUCACAGAAUUUGGCAUGGUUGAAUUCAGCUUGGAUUUGAAAUCAUCAAUACAUAUUUUUAAAUUCGGCUUGGUCUUUUCUUGGAUUCUUUGAUUCAACAUAUUUCUAAAAUGCAGUCACGUGCAUUUUUUGGUGCCAAACUUUCGCGCUCAGGCUUUUGGUAGCCUGCGUACAUCCGGUUUCAAAUAUUUAUUUUCCUGUCUGCGCGUUACAGAAUUCUAAAACCAGAUCCACACAGGCUAGCUUUUGGCGGCAACAAUAACAAAAAUCAACUUAUUCAGCGUUUUCUGAUCAGUUAUCUUCAUUGGACAGACCAGACCCACUGGUCCGUACUUGAAGAUAUAUUUUUGGUCAAUCUCCGGUGUGAUGACCACAGACAUUUCUAUGUUUGUUUUGAUAUGAUGAGUUUGCCACCCAAAAAGUCACAUUAUCUUAAUUUGUCUGCCCUUGUAGCACAAUUACCUUUCUCUUUGUCUAUUUUAAUUAUUUUAUUCUUAUGUUCGUCUCUUCAUAAAUAUGGUAGUCUGUAGCAACUGUCCUUGCAAUAAGAUUUAACACUGCAAAGUUGGUAAGUUAAUCCUUGUUUAGCUUUUGAGAAUAAUGUUGUAUAAAUAACUGUUACAGUGUCGGCACGAAGAAGAUGAAGGACUGCGUUUCUCUGGAUUUGAAUUUCAAGAGAGGUACUCAUACAGGCAGCCCAAGGCUACUGUCAAUAGUUUAUAAAGCCAACGGAAUGUGUGGGGGAAUUUAUAUGUUAGC